rnacentral:lncRNA from 1 species
CUGUACUCAAUCAGGCAGUCAAAAACACGCCUACUCAGAUAAGGGUAUCCCUGCAAAGAAGUCUCUUGACACUGCUUUGACAUAUUUACGUUCUUCCGCGAUUAUUCAGUUGCAAUAACUUCGAGCUCCUCUUCUGACACUCUCAGACGAGCCGGCCCCCAGCCCUACAAGGGGAAGGGAAAGAAAACGUUGCCCACCGAGGGUGCCCGGGGGGGUUAAGGGCACCCAGCGCUGGUGACACGGGGCAGGGACAGAGCCGAAGCGAGCGGAGAUUCAAAGCCUCUGGAGCUUGAAGUAUACAAUGAAAAUACUGCUUUAACGCCAUCUGAUCAAAGAUACCGCAUCGCAGAUAGCGCACCCCUGAAGUUACAGUGAGAUUAUGUUACUCGUAAGUCCUAUUAGCCUGGACUUGUUGGAAGAUCUGCUAUCUGGUAGCGAGAUAUAAUCGGGAAAUUAUUUCUUUUAAUUAGUUCAUUGAAGUAAACAGAAAAUAGCCCGGGUCCUAUCUGUCUACAUCUCUUUGGAAGAAAGGCAAAGAGGCACAAGAGUUCAACGACAGUUUUAAGUGGGGGAAAGGAUUCCUGCGGUGCAGCAGAGGAGCAGAGAUUGCAGCAUCCCUGGGAAAUACACACCACCUUCUGCAAAGCAAUAACCAACCGUCGCCCGAAGCCCACCCGAGCUGGGGUGGUUUGGAAAACCUCCAUGGCAAGCCGAGGAUGAAGAAAUGCCUCCCACCUCCCCAGGUAUUAGAAGUCCUGCUCGCCUUCGGAGAGGUUUAAGUGCUGAAAUUCCCAGGAUGUAAGACAUGCAGUGCUGUGUCAUGCAGCUGACAGGUCUGCUGGCAGAGCUGAUGGUCACAGCCAGGGUGGAAAUUCUUCAUUAAACAAAACAGAGUAAAAUAAUCAAGGAAGGUUGGAGCUCUUUGCAAGAUCUAUUGAGUUGAUUGCUCAGCCUGUCUAAAAAAGUUAUAAUUUGGGACAACA